CGGGACACGUGGUAUCCUGUCUGAAUAUGGGGGGACCAUCCUCCAAGGCUAAAUACUCCUGACUGACCGAUAGUGAACCAGUACCGUGAGGGAAAGGCGAAAAGAACCCCGGCGAGGGGAGUGAAAAAGAACCUGAAACCGUGUACGUACAAGCAGUGGGAGCACGCUUAGGCGUGUGACUGCGUACCUUUUGUAUAAUGGGUCAGCGACUUAUAUUCUGUAGCAAGGUUAACCGAAUAGGGGAGCCGAAGGGAAACCGAGUCUUAACUGGGCGUUAAGUUGCAGGGUAUAGACCCGAAACCCGGUGAUCUAGCCAUGGGCAGGUUGAAGGUUGGGUAACACUAACUGGAGGACCGAACCGACUAAUGUUGAAAAAUUAGCGGAUGACUUGUGGCUGGGGGUGAAAGGCCAAUCAAACCGGGAGAUAGCUGGUUCUCCCCGAAAGCUAUUUAGGUAGCGCCUCGUGAAUUCAUCUCCGGGGGUAGAGCACUGUUUCGGCAAGGGGGUCAUCCCGACUUACCAACCCGAUGCAAACUGCGAAUACCGGAGAAUGUUAUCACGGGAGACACACGGCGGGUGCUAACGUCCGUCGUGAAGAGGGAAACAACCCAGACCGCCAGCUAAGGUCCCAAAGUCAUGGUUAAGUGGGAAACGAUGUGGGAAGGCCCAGACAGCCAGGAUGUUGGCUUAGAAGCAGCCAUCAUUUAAAGAAAGCGUAAUAGCUCACUGGUCGAGUCGGCCUGCGCGGAAGAUGUAACGGGGCUAAACCAUGCACCGAAGCUGCGGCAGCGACGCUGAUGCGUUGUUGGGUAGGGGAGCGUUCUGUAAGCCUGUGAAGGUGUGCUGUGAGGCAUGCUGGAGGUAUCAGAAGUGCGAAUGCUGACAUAAGUAACGAUAAAGCGGGUGAAAAGCCCGCUCGCCGGAAGACCAAGGGUUCCUGUCCAACGUUAAUCGGGGCAGGGUGAGUCGACCCCUAAGGCGAGGCCGAAAGGCGUAGUCGAUGGGAAACAGGUUAAUAUUCCUGUACUUGGUGUUACUGCGAAGGGGGGACGGAGAAGGCUAUGUUGGCCGGGCGACGGUUGUCCCGGUUUAAGCGUGUAGGCUGGUUUUCCAGGCAAAUCCGGAAAAUCAAGGCUGAGGCGUGAUGACGAGGCACUACGGUGCUGAAGCAACAAAUGCCCUGCUUCCAGGAAAAGCCUCUAAGCAUCAGGUAACAUCAAAUCGUACCCCAAACCGACACAGGUGGUCAGGUAGAGAAUACCAAGGCGCUUGAGAGAACUCGGGUGAAGGAACUAGGCAAAAUGGUGCCGUAACUUCGGGAGAAGGCACGCUGAUAUGUAGGUGAAGCGACUUGCUCGUGGAGCUGAAAUCAGUCGAAGAUACCAGCUGGCUGCAACUGUUUAUUAAAAACACAGCACUGUGCAAACACGAAAGUGGACGUAUACGGUGUGACGCCUGCCCGGUGCCGGAAGGUUAAUUGAUGGGGUCAGCGCAAGCGAAGCUCUUGAUCGAAGCCCCGGUAAACGGCGGCCGUAACUAUAACGGUCCUAAGGUAGCGAAAUUCCUUGUCGGGUAAGUUCCGACCUGCACGAAUGGCGUAAUGAUGGCCAGGCUGUCUCCACCCGAGACUCAGUGAAAUUGAACUCGCUGUGAAGAUGCAGUGUACCCGCGGCAAGACGGAAAGACCCCGUGAACCUUUACUAUAGCUUGACACUGAACAUUGAGCCUUGAUGUGUAGGAUAGGUGGGAGGCUUUGAAGUGUGGACGCCAGUCUGCAUGGAGCCGGCCUUGAAAUACCACCCUUUAAUGUUUGAUGUUCUAACGUUGACCCGUGAUCCGGGUUGCGGACAGUGUCUGGUGGGUAGUUUGACUGGGGCGGUCUCCUCCUAAAGAGUAACGGAGGAGCACGAAGGUUGGCUAAUCCUGGUCGGACAUCAGGAGGUUAGUGCAAUGGCAUAAGCCAGCUUGACUGCGAGCGUGACGGCGCGAGCAGGUGCGAAAGCAGGUCAUAGUGAUCCGGUGGUUCUGAAUGGAAGGGCCAUCGCUCAACGGAUAAAAGGUACUCCGGGGAUAACAGGCUGAUACCGCCCAAGAGUUC
rnacentral:rRNA from 1 species